rnacentral:lncRNA from 1 species
AGGUAAAAUUUUCUGUUAUCCAUUCCAGAGCACAUAUAUGGCUCUCAUUGUGGUCCUAUCGAAUUUAGAUUGAGGGCACAUCUAGGAGGAAAGUCCUUAGGAAUUAACAUCAGGGUUGGCCAGGAGAAAAGGUCAGUAGUACCUCUGAAAUACUGUUAUUUCCAGAAUUAUUGCCGAGUGUUUUUUAUUAUUGCGAAAAAUUGCGACAGAAGUUGUAAACGCAAAAAAUUAAAACACUAAUUUAAAAUAUUUCAUAUGUAUUAAGCAGGAUUUUUUCCCAAACUCGUAACAAUUAAAAUCACAUUUAAUGUCUAAAAUGACAAAUUGCAAUAAUAAAUGCAAGCAAAUAAUUCUGAAUUUACAUGCUCUGAAAUACUUCUUACUGUUAAUUCAGAAAUUAAUGACAUGUUUUGUGUUUUUAUCAGGAUUAUAAUCACAAUAAGUUAAACACUCCUUUUGAAAUUAUUUAUAUUAACUAAAUAGGAUUUUUCUCAAUAUUGCAAAUAUUAAAAUCACAUUUUAGUGUUAAAUGACAAAAUCACAAUAAUUUCUGAAUAUACAAAAGUGUAAAAAAUAUCUAUUGAAAUUAAUUCAUCACAAAGUAAUAUUAUACUGUUACUGUCUUUUUGAUGAUGUACAUAUUUGGUUUGAUUGACUUUGGAAAAACUGAUAUUCACUGAGUACAAUGGCUGAAGUCAAUAUGAAUUAUUUAAAGUUAAUUUAAACCCCAUAUUUUGAAAAUAAUUGAAAGAUAUUACCAUAGUGGCAAAGAAGCAAAUACAUUUGUGUGAAUUGAGCUCUUAUUCUCUUGUAAUUGAAGCAACAAAAUAUAGAGUAUAGAGAAAUAUAGACCUUAAAAUUAAGGGAAAAAAAUGAUUGUCAUGUUAAUCUCGGCAAUAACAAUAAAAUGGACAGAGAAUAAUAAGCAUGGAAACAACUGUGUGGCAGGAUCAAUUUUUAAAUGAAGAGAAUUGGUAUUUAAUAACAAAUUGGGAAUUCAUAAACUUAAAAGUUUUCUAUAUUACAUUUCAGAACCUGGAAAGAAGGAAAGUUUAUCAUAUUUGAUGAUUCAUUUGAACAUGAAGUUUGCAUAAUGGAAAUGAGUUAAGAUUGUGUUAAUAGUUGACUUUUGCAUCCUGACUUGCCAGAUGGAACAAAAAAAGACAUUGUCACCUAUUUAACUGAAGGAGACCAGGAAUAAAAUUCAAAAUGGCAGCCAUAUCUAAAAAUAAAACUUUCAGUAAGGGAGGAAAAGAUCUGUGUUGAAAAAAUAUUGUUUGGAAUUAAUUUCUAAAUAAGUUUUUUUUGCAUUGAUAAACGGGGACCAAAAUUGUAAUAAUUGUAUAUUUCCUAUACUUAAUCAUCACAAUAACUUUACCAAUGUCUUAGAAAAUGAUAAAGUUAAGAGUUUUUGCAUUGUUUGGAGGGGCCAAAAUUGUAAUAAUAUAUAUAUAUCUGGAUGUCAUUUAAGGGGCAAUGUAUUAUUAAAGUGAGACUCAUUUUUUUUUAAAGUUUCAAAAGAUUAUCCAUGAUUUUUCAAAUGAGAAGUUGUUUCUUACCCUCAAUUUUAUCAAAGGGCGACAGCCCUGUGUUGAGAUGUGGCUGAGAAACAUCCUUAAAUUUGAAAGAUCAUUGAUAAUAUGUUUAUCUUUAUUUAGCCUAUGAAGGCAUUGAUGUCACAUGUGUUUUUAUUUUCUGAUGAUAAUUUACUAUCUCAAGAGAGAAAGUAUCAUGGCAUGAAAUAGUUAUCACAAAAAUAAAAGAAACGGAAAAUACAAAAAAUGGGAUAGAUUGAAAUAUUAUCAGAAAAUAAAGAUAUGGCAAAUGAAAAAAAACAUAUAUUUAAGAUACCAUAGUCAUUUUUCAAUGAUAUGAUUUAAUCAUUUAUGUAGAAAGAAAUCAUGUGAGUUUUGUGAAUAUCAUCUUUGGUGCUUUUUGUUCAUAUCUCAAAAUGUUAUUUUUUGGUUGUAAAUUUAUAUUUAUUUUUUGCAGUAUUUUGUACUAAGUAUUGUAUUGUUAUUUUCAAUCUCAUUAAAAUCCGCUGUAGUUUUUGCUUUGGUACUCUCCAUCAUAACUAAGAGCGACCAUAGUGUUCAACAACAUCGGAUUUUGAUCAGAUUUGUUUAUUUUUUGAUUAUAAAGAAAAUU